UACGUAGGGUGCAAGCGUUAAUCGGAAUGACUGGGCGUAAAGCGUGCGCAGGCGGUUCGUUGUGUCGGCGGUGAAAGCCCCGGGCUUAACCUGGGAAUGGCAUUUGGGACUGCAAGGCUCGAGUGCGGCAGAGGAGACUGGAAUUCCUGGUGUAGCAGUGAAAUGCGUAGAUAUCAGGAGGAACACCGAUGGCGAAGGCAGGUCUCUGGGCUGACACUGACGCUCAUGCACGAAAGCGUGGGGAGCAAACAGG
rnacentral:rRNA from 1 species